GAUGAACGCUAGCUACAGGCUUAACACAUGCAAGUCGAGGGGAAACGGCAUCGAAAGCUUGCUUUUGAUGGGCGUCGACCGGCGCACGGGUGAGUAACGCGUAUCCAACCUGCCCAUCACUUGGGAAUAACCUUGCGAAAGUAAGUCUAAUGCCCAAUGACAUCCCACGAAGGCAUCCGAAUGGGAUUAAAGAUUUAUCGGCGAUGGAUGGGGAUGCGUCUGAUUAGCUUGUUGGCGGGGUGACGGCCCACCAAGGCAACGAUCAGUAGGGGUUCUGAGAGGAAGGUCCCCCACAUUGGAACUGAGACACGGUCCAAACUCCUACGGGAGGCAGCAGUGAGGAAUAUUGAUCAAUGGGCGAGAGCCUGAACCAGCCAAGUAGCGUGCAGGAUGACGGCCCUAUGGGUUGUAAACUGCUUUUAUAAGGGAAUAAAGUGGGUCACGUGUGACUUUUUGCAGGUACCUUAUGAAUAAGGACCGGCUAAUUCCGUG
rnacentral:rRNA from 1 species